GACGAACGCUGGCGGCGUGCUUAACACAUGCAAGUCGAACGGAAAGGCCCUGCUUUUGUGGGGUGCUCGAGUGGCGAACGGGUGAGUAACACGUGAGUAACCUGCCCUUGACUUCGGGAUAACUUCAGGAAACUGGGGCUAAUACCGGAUAGGAGCUCCUGCUGCAUGGUGGGGGUUGGAAAGUUUCGGCGGUUGGGGAUGGACUCGCGGCUUAUCAGCUUGUUGGUGGGGUAGUGGCUUACCAAGGCUUUGACGGGUAGCCGGCCUGAGAGGGUGACCGGCCACAUUGGGACUGAGAUACGGCCCAGACUCCUACGGGAGGCAGAAGUGGGGAAUAUUGCACAAUGGGCGGAAGCCUGAUGCAGCAACGCCGCGUGCGGGAUGACGGCCUUCGGGUUGUAAACCGCUUUCGCCUGUGACGAAGCGUGAGUGACGGUAAUGGGUAAAGAAGCACCGGCUAACUACGUG
rnacentral:rRNA from 1 species